rnacentral:rRNA from 1 species
GGACGAACGCUGGCGGCGUGCCUAACACAUGCAAGUCGAGCGAGGAGAUCCUCGGGAUGAUCCUAGCGGCGGACGGGUGAGUAACACGUGGGCAACCUGCCUCAUAGAGAGGAAUAGCCUUCCGAAAGGGAGAUUAAUACCUCAUAACAUUGCAGUUUCGCAUGGAACAGCAAUUAAAGGAGCAAUCCGCUAUGAGAUGGGCCCGCGGCGCAUUAGCUAGUUGGUGAGGUAACGGCUCACCAAGGCGACGAUGCGUAGCCGACCUGAGAGGGUGAUCGGCCACAUUGGGACUGAGACACGGCCCAGACUCCUACGGGAGGCAGCAGUGGGGAAUAUUGCACAAUGGGGGAAACCCUGAUGCAAGCAACGCCGCGUGAGUGAUGACGGCCUUCGGGUUGUAAAGCUCUGUCUUCAGGGACGAUAAUGACGGUACCUGAGGAGGAAGCCACGGCUAACUACGUGCCAGCCGCUGC